CCGUUUCCUGCCACGGGCAGGGACACCGCCCACUACACCAGGCUGUUCAAGGCCUUAUCCAGCCCGGCUUUACAAACCACCAUGGCCUGGAGCACACACACCCUUCCUGUUCUAAAGGCCUCACCGCCCUCGCAGUAAAGAAUUUCCUUCUAAUAUCUAACCUUAAUUUCCUCUCUUUUAAUUUGCACCUACCAGACUCGGCGACCGCUGCUGCCGCUCCCACGCCUGAGGUCGGGGCACGGCGGGACGGCUCCCAAGCCACGGAUGGGCACGGGCACGUCCCACGCCCGGGCAUUCCCCCCUCCCAAGCACCGCCCGGGGCGCCCCUCGCCAGCCCUGGAUCCGCCGCCGAAGGGGACACGGGCGGGUCCCGCCACAGCCAUCCACGCACCCACAGAGGCACGCACCCCGGCUGGAGGCGGGCAGGCGCGGACGCUCCAGUUCCGUCUCGCUCGGAAAGGGCAAUUCCCCGCCGCCAUCCAGCUAAAUACGCCGCGCUCCGGGGCGGGGCGGGCACGGCGCCUUCCGGCUGCGCGCGCAGAGGGACACGGGGAACGGUGAGGGCGGGAUUGAGAUGUGAAGGGAAAGCGAUCCCGGGCCGCAGGCGCUGUUGGAGAUCGGGAUUGGGUUGUGAAAGGAAGGCGAUCCGGCCGCAGCCAGAAGGGAGGUUAGAUCUGUGAAGAUGUUGAUGUUUCCCCGUGGUUUGCACUGUCUCCUUGUGCCGAGUGGGUCAGAAACUGUCCCGUGGCUCCAAUGUACAGCCUGGAACGCAUGGGCCACUUCUGCAAGAGAGGAGACAAGCACAGCACUGAGACACCCGGGAGCUUUGCACUCCCACUGCAGUUCUCAGCAAAGCUUUCGUGGAAUCAUGGUACAAGAAAGUUGGAACCUGUUGCUAUCAUCAAACAGUUCUUGUUUUGUCAUUCGCUGGAAAAUGUUUGGAGCUUGAUGAGGGAGCCUCAGCCUGGAUAUUUGCUUUGGUAAUUAAUCUUGAAGCACAGCUCCCAACCCUGCCAUGCCUCAGCAGACAGGAGCAGGCUGGCCAGUCAGCCUAGCUCAGUUUGUGUCAUAGAUGUUCUGUGAGUAGAACAAAGAAAGAAUUCCUUCUCAAGGCAGCAGGGAUGCUACAGAGAUACACCUGCACCUGCAGGGAUUGCAGCCCCAUGUGCACACCUAUCCCUGCUGGCUGGCCCCACUACAGCACAGGGGCUGCUGCUGAAAGCUGUAAGUCUAAGGGAAUUUGAUGUAAUUGCACCUUGGCAGUCUUCAGCACGCUCAGCAUCUUGUUCUUGUCAGCUCCAGCUGUUUCAGAUGACACAGUUCAUCUUUACACUCACUGAUUUUUGGAAUCAUCAGUUACUCUUGGUGUUAAAUAUUUAUUCUGACAGCUUGAGUGUCUUAACCCCAGCAAGUCACUCAUUGCAAGCAGCCCUGUGGUGCAGGUGACUGCAGCUGGGCACCCAGAACUUGGGAAGGAGCAUCCGGCUCUUUUUGCUGUGCCAAGUUCAGUAUUAGAGAGGUGGAUGCCUGGAGAGACAACUUAUCCCACCCAUUGGAUGCAAAAAUACCUGAAAUGCAGCCAGCACAUUUUUCCAAAAGAAUGCAGGUUUUUUAAGACUCUUUUGGGAACAGACUGACACCUUUCCUGUGGGUAAGGGACACUUAAUACUGCAGAUAAAUCUCAGCUCUUCUGUUCAAAGACCUAAAGCAGUAGCAUAUUCUCACCUAGAAACACUGUACAAUGUUAUUCAGUAAUUUCAUUUCAAGUGUGGUGUUAAGAGUUUGUCACCAAUAAACCAUCCAAGUUUAAAGUCAUUAACCAUGUUUUUCAUUCAGUGUACACACAGCUGUACUUGGAUAUUUAACUUUCCU
ensembl:lncRNA